GACAGAGGCCACGAACGUUGUUCGGAAUCACUGGGCAUAAAGCGCACGUAGGCGGCUAGGUCCGUCCAAUGUGAAAGCCCCCGGCUCAACCGGGGAAUUGCAUCGGAUACAGCCUGGCUCGAGGACGGUUGGGGUGAGUGGAACUCCUGGUGGAGCGGUGAAAUGCGUAGAUAUCAGGAGGAACACCGGUGGCGAAAGCGGCUCACUGGACCGUUACUGACACUCAGGUGCGACAGCGUGGGGAGCAAACAGG
rnacentral:rRNA from 1 species